CGGCGUGUGGCUCAGCUUGGUAGAGCGCUACGUUCGGGACGUAGAGGCCGCAGGUUCGAAUCCUGUCACGCCGA
rfam:Firmicutes bacterium CAG:95 genomic scaffold, scf342